ensembl:rRNA 5S_rRNA 5S ribosomal RNA
GCCUACGGCCAGAGCGCCCUGAGAGCGCCCGAUCCCGCCUGAUCUCGGAAGCUCAGCAGGGUCAUGUAAAUCAUGUAGGACUUUUCUCCUAACAUGAGUAUCCUGGGGA